rnacentral:antisense_RNA from 1 species
UUAUGGCGGCUGUACGUGGGGCACCUCGUGUGCGCCGGGUUUUCUUCGUCUCCUCGGUCUGUCAACCCACGUACAGCUGCCACCCU